rnacentral:lncRNA from 1 species
AUGGCCAAAGGAGAGCCUAAGAAGCUGAAAGGCAAAAUGUCAUCAUAUGCAUUCUUUGUGCAAACUUGCCGGGAGGAGCACAAAAAGUAGCACCCAGAAGAUUCAGUCAGUUUCUCAGAGUUUUCUAAGAAGUGCUCAGAGAGAUGGAAACCUGUCUGCAAAAGAGAAAAAUUUGAAGACGUGGCAAAGUUGGGGGAGGCCUGUCACAAAAGAGAAAUGAAACCUAAAUCCCUCCUGAAGGGGAAACAAAAAAGUUCAAGGAUCCCAACGCACUCAAGAGGCCUUCUGGAGCCUUUAUCUUGUUCGGUUCUGAGUACCGCCCAAAAAUCAAAAAUAACAUCCCAGCCUAUCCAUUAGUAACGUUGCAAAGAAACUGGGAGAGAUGUGGAAUAACACUGCUGCAGACAAUAAGCAGCCAUGUGAAAGGAAGGCUGCAAAGCUGAAGGAAAAAUAUGACAAGGAUAUCGUUGUACACGGAGCUAAAGGAAAGCCUGAUGCAGCAAAAAAGAAAGCCGUUGGGGCUGAGAAAAGCAAGAAAAAGAAUGAAGAGGAGAAAGAUGAAGAGGAUGAUGUUGAGGAGGAAGAUGAUCAUGAAUAA